AAGUGAGGAGAGCAAGGUGUGCAACUACCGUGACAGGAGGCUCAGGGGCCUCCCCGAGUCUUACCGCUGAGACCCUUCAGGGAGCAGCAACAAGAACUGGACCCCAGAAAACCAACAGCGAGGCUCUGAGAGUGUCACAGCCUGAUGUUCACACUGCCCUGCCUCUUCCACCUCACGAGUCACUGGACCCGACAGUGGGAGCAGCUUGUCACCAGGUCACCAGAAAGCAAACAAUGGCUCAAACUAACACUGUGGCCAAAAGGGCCCUGAUGAGGAAAGCCAGAGGAAGAGGAGCGAGCCAAGGAAGAGUAGAGGGACAAAGUCAACAGACCCAG
rnacentral:lncRNA from 1 species